rnacentral:rRNA from 1 species
GCGCACCAGCCGAGAAUCCUUCGCAAUGUGCGAAAGCAUGACGAGGCGACGCCGCGUGGAAGAUGAAGCCCUGCGGGGUGUAAAUUCCUUUUAUAGGGGAAGAACUUUUGUGACUGUACCCUAUGAAUAAGGAGCUACUAAUCACGUGCCAGCAGUAGCGGUAAUACGUGAGCUCCGAGCGUUAUCCGGAUUUACUGGGCGUAAAGCGUUCGUAGGCGCUCUGUUAAGUUUUCUGUUAAAUCUCUAAGGCCCAACCUUAGAGCUGCAAGAAAAAACUGGCAGGGUAGAGGAUGUCGAGGGGCUGAGUGGAACUCUCGGUGUAGAGGUGG